UACGGGGGGGGCAAGCGUUGUUCGGAAUUACUGGGCGUAAAGGGCUCGUAGGUGGCCAACUAAGUCAGACGUGAAAUCCCUCGGCUUAACCGAGGAACUGCGUCUGAUACUGGAUGGCUUGAGUUCGGGAGAGGGAUGCGGAAUUCCAGGUGUAGCGGUGAAAUGCGUAGAGAUCGGGAGGAACACCUGUGGCGAAGGCGGCCACCUGGGCCGACCCUGACGCUGAGGCGCGAAGGCGUGGGGAGCGAACGGG
rnacentral:rRNA from 1 species